rnacentral:lncRNA from 1 species
AAACGAUUUUCUGCGUUGAAUUUAUCCUGGAGUUCGGUAUUUUUGCUAUUUUACUUUCCGUUUAGGACAGUGACAUGUUUAGAUUAUACCAUAUAAACUGUUCUUAUUUUGUUUUGAGGAAUCUCUAUACCGGGAGUUUGUUGUGUCUCGUCGAUUUCACCAAUGACAGUAAAGCUGUCGGAGAUUAUUCGAAGAGCAAAACAAGCUUCUCUGUUACAUGAAUAGCUUAUCAGGGUUGUCAGUAACAUGAGUCAUUUGUUUUGUUUCGAUAUAAUCUACCUUCACCAUCUUUGCCAGAGAAGUGAAAUAUGGUUGCACCAGGUUAGUAAUACUUUUAUUGUUCAUGUAUUUUCAUAUUGACAGGAAUUAAUACAGUCUGAUAACUAGUAUUAAAUUAGGGGACAACACAGUGGAUUUCUUUCAACAUAUUAUGGUUUGGGUUCAGAUUGCUUUUACAUUAUGAUGACCGUGGUCAUAUAAAAGAACAAUGUUUAUCUUAUUCACUUAAGUCUUAAAUUUUGAACACAGACAUCGGUCAUCUGCAAAUAAUUACAUUAGCUGUAUGGUUCAUUAUUAAACGUUAUUUUGAUUGGCUAGCAGCAAUCUCGCGUCAUUCUUCAUUUCAGAUGAAUUGCACGAAU